rnacentral:rRNA from 1 species
ACCUGCGGAAGGAUCAUUGUCGAAACCUGCCCAGUAGAAAGACCGGCGAAC